UGGUACGAAUAAAGCGCUGAGGAAAAGACUGUGCUGUGUCCUGUGUGUGCUUGGAACACUCUCACUCGUGUGAAUUCCAGGUGGAGAUUUUCCAUGACAAUUUGGUGACGUGGAUGGGAUGCUAACUCAGGUUCGCCCUGAUCUAUAAUGACAGGUAAAGCUGCACAGCCAGGGACUGGGUCACACCCCGAUGUAGUCGAAGGGGUUUGUGGAGAUGGACACCUGUAAUGUGUAGUUAAUGGGGUUCCUGAUAUGGCAUCCAGAGGACAAAAUAAUUCUGACAUGGGUGAGGACACAGUCCAGCAAUAGGGAAAACUCACGUGAGUUGACGAGCUACUAAUGAUGGUCCGGGACACAUUGGUCGAGUGACUGUCUGGGACAGUAUAAGGAUGGUCGGCUGGCACGACAACGGACUCAGUGCUGAAAGAUAAAGCGGUGUCAGGGUUAGAGUCCCUGAGAAACCUGAACCUCCCCUAUAAAAGAGGGUGAGAAGUGGGAACCUGAAGCCUGAGGACGGGGUCGCCUCAACAAAGGUGACCUUUCAGCAGAUGAUGGAGAACCACAUGACUGUGUUGCUUCAAUAACAGUGAUAUGAUCUCCCAGGCCAUACCUCAAGGACACACCACUCUCCAAUGCUGAGUUGUAACUGUUUGUUGAUGGUCCUGCUUCAAGUGACCCUGUCAUGGGAAAGACUAGGGCUGGGUUCGCUGUUGUAACUGCAUUUGAUACUAUCAUUGCACAACCCUUACCCUGACACACAUCCUCACGAGCAGUGAAAUUGAUAGCUAUAAUUGAAGCCUGCAAACACACGGCUGGUAGGUCCGUUAACAUUUACACUGACAGUAGAUAUGCAUUUGGGGUGGUGCAUGAUUUUGGGGCCAUUUGGAAGCAAAGAGACUUCCUUACAUCUACAGGCAAACCCAUCUCUAAUGGACCCCUGGUGGUGGCCCUGUUAGAGGCUGUCAUGUUAUCGUCCUUUGUCGCAGUGUGUAUAUGUGAGGCUCACAUUAACUCCCUUGACCACAUUUCUGUGGGAAAUGCACGAGCAGAUGCUGUACCAAAGAAAGCUGCUCAACAGGAAUUUCAAAACCACAGUUUUGUUUCUGUUCCUCAAACAGACACACACACACACCAAAUGCAGAUUCCAUUUAUUUACAGAGCAGAGUCACAGCGGAGGAGAAAGCUGCCUGGAAGAACGCUGCCUGUUCAAAGGAAGACGAUAUUUGGGUUGGUCAAUGGGAAACCAUGCCUGCCACAUUAUUUAUUUCUGCAUUAUGCCAAAUUGGCACACGGUGUAGACCAUGUGUCAAAAGGAGGGAUGUUGAGUGAAAUAAAUAGGUACUGGUUCACAAAGGGGUUUUCCAUUUAUGCCCAAAAAUAUUGUCAAAAAUGUGUAAUAUGUGCCAAAUUUGACAUAGGAAGAGGGCCUGUGAGGGCAUAUCUGCCACCUGAAAAGCCAUUUGACCAGCCACUUGACCACCAAUUGAACUGAGUCUGCAAGAAGUUAAAAAGUAUUGCCUGGUGAUUAAUUAACAGUGACAAUGGCACCCACUUUGUGAAUCAAGCCCUACAUCACACCGGUCAGUAUUUGGGAAUUAAUAUGACAACACACUGCACCUACCCCCCUAAGAGUGGGGGAGCAGUGGAUAGAGAAAAUGGCACACUAAAAAAUAAACUGGUCAAAUGUUCGUUUGAAACUGGACUAAACUGGGUUCAAGCGUUACCAUUGGUGUUAAUGCAAAUGCCGGCAAGGCUCAGGAAACUAAACGGUUUGAGCCCAUUUGAAAUUUUGUUUGGCAGGACCCUUAACAUGGGAACUGGACCACAAAAAAGCAGUUGCUUGAUACUGACCAGUGUGAGGAUGAAAUGUUGUGUUAUUGUGCAAACCUCUCUGCUGUGCUUUGUGAUAUUCAUAGACAGGUGAAAACAGCGCUCCCCAGGGAGGCAAAAGUGAAAUUGCAUGAUCUGGAGCUGGGAGACUGGGUUGUGGUGAAGGACUUCAAAAGGAGAAAUACAGACAGAUGGGCUGGUUUGAGUGUUUCUGUAACUGCUGAUCUCCUGGGAUUUUCAUGCAUAACAGUCUCUAGAAUUUACUCCAAAUGGUGCCAGAAACAAAAAACAUCCAGUGAGCAGAUGUUCUGCAGAUGGAAAUACCUUGUUGAUGAGAGAGGUCAACAGAGAGUGGCCAGACUGGUUUGAACUGAGAAAGUAUACAGUAACUCAGAUAACCGUUCUAUACAAUUGUGUUGAGAAGGAUAGCAUCUCACAAAACACACCUUGAUGAUUCUCAUAGCUUUUGGGAGAAUGUUCUGUGGACUGAUGAGUUGAAAGUGCAACUGUUUGGAAGAUAGGGGUCCCAUUACAUCUGGUGUAAAUCAAACACAGAAUUCCACAAAAAGAACAUCAUACCUACGGUCAAGCAUGUUGGUGGUAGUGUGAUGGUGUGGGGAUGAUUUGCUGCUUCAGGACCAGGGUGACUUGCAAUAACUGAGGGAAACAUGAAUUCUGCUCUCUACCAGAAAAUCCUAAAAGGAGAACGUCUGGUCAUCAGUCCGUGAGUUGAAGCUCAAGCACAACUGGAUUAUGCAGCAAGACAAUGAUCCAAAGCAUAGGAGUAUGUCCACCUCUGAAUGGCUCAAAAGAAGCAAAAUUAAAGUUUUGGAGUGGCCUAGUCAAAGUGCUGACUUGAACCCGAUUGAGAUGCUGGGCAGGACCUUAAACGGUCAGUUCAUGCUCAAACCCUCCAAUGUGGCUGAACUAAAGCAGUUCUGCAAAGAAGAGUGGGCCAAAACUCCACCACAGCACUGUGAAAGAAUGCUCUCCAGUUAUCGGAAACGUUUGGUUGCAGUUGUUGCUGUUAAAGGUGGCACAACCAGCUAUUUAAAGGGCAGUUCGUUUUUCACAUAGGUGAUAUAGGUGUUGGAUAACGUCCUGGUUACUUGCGUAAACUCCGUUCCCUGAUGGAGGGAACGAGACAUUGUGUCGAUGUAGUGACACUAGGGGUCACUCUUGGGAGCCCAAAACA